CCUACGGGCGGCAGCAGUGGGGAAUAUUGGGCAAUGGGCGAAAGCCUGAUGCAGCAAUGCCGCGUGAAUGAAGAAGGUCUUCGGAUUGUAAAAUUCUGUCCUAUGGGCAGAAAAAAAUGACGGUACCAUAGUAGGAAGCCCCGGCUAACUACGUGCCAGCCGCCGCGGUAAUACGUAGGGGGCGAGCGUUGUCCGGAAUUACUGGGCGUAAAGUGAGCGUAGGCGGCACUAAAAGUCUCAGGUGAAAUCCCCGGGCUUAACUUGGGGGUUGCAUGGGAAACUGUAGAGCUUGAGUACAGGAGAGGCAAGCGGAAUUCCUAGUGUAGCGGUGAAAUGCGUAGAUAUUAGGAGGAACACCAGUGGCGAAGGCGGCUUGCUGGACUGAAACUGACGCUGAGGCUCGAAAGCGUGGGGAGCAAACAGGAUUAGAUACCCCGGUAGUC
rnacentral:rRNA from 1 species